rnacentral:lncRNA from 1 species
GAUACAGAAGAGAGGAAAGAAGCGAAGUACCUGAGGAGCCUGGGAGGUGGGGGAUGAAAAGGAGUGGAGGCUCCUGCCUGGGGGAGGGGGCAUUUGUGGACCCACAGGGAGGCGAGGUCUGAUGGGUGAGGAGCCAGACACACCUGACAGUUCUCUGUCAGGCUGGAGACCAAGCCAUUUGCUGAUGACAAAUGGCCGGUGAGUACAUUAGAUCUGGGACAGUCUGAGAACCAGUGCACUAGCCUAGAUAGGGGAAGGGAGAGGCCACUGAGCAGGGCCUGCUGGGUCCCACAGGAGCCCCAGGACAGGUGCAGGGGAGCCCAGACGCAGGCUGGCUUCGGGCCAAGGGUGGGGUGAGGAUAGAGGACAGGGGCAGAGGGGGCAUGGAGGUGGGGAGCGAGGCCAGGCCAGGCUGACAGAUUCGGGGUAAAGAGAUCCAGGCACUGGAGCAGCCAUGGAGGGUUUGAAGAACAAGGUCCCCAUUGACAAGGAGGAGCUCAAACCAUUUACUAAAAACAAUGAAUGAGUGAAUAAACCCCCUGUGCUCCCCUGUGUGGCAAGGUUGCCAGCUGGCAGCCCCUGGACCUCAUCUGUUCAGCAAAUGUUUUGUUUGAUUAAUUUGGUUUUGAUGCACAGAAGUUUCAGCUUCUCUUGCAAAAUCAGAAUCUCUGUCAACAGCAGCCUGCAUUCCAGGUGAUGUGGCGAUAGUCAGCCAGAGUGGUGGCAGCCACGUCCUCACACAGGUCAGCACUCUGCCGUUAGCCACAGUCCCCACCUCCCUCGAUGAUUCUCUCAGGCUCUGACAACGUGAGUUUUGCAGCCCCUGCCCUAUUGCUCACAACCCCAGCUGGGUUUCCAGGGCACUGAUAGCCCAGCUCCUCCCUUCCCUGGUCAGUGAAUGUGGCCCAGCCUGUCCAGGUGCCUCCAAAUAGCCACAGGCCCAGCCUGGAGGACAGCACCCCGAGGCUACAGAGUGGAACAGAGUAGAACAGUCUGCUUCCUUCAUGUUGCUGCAAUAAAUGGGGCCCAAGGUCACUCUAGCUUUUCUGGCGAAACCUUCACGCUGAUGACUCAUUGAGCUUCCUAUCACCUGCGAAAGCCCCUACUUCUUGGCACAGGCCUGACACCUAAAAAUAACAACAACACAAUGUCCCCUGUGAGCUUAAAUCUCACAAAGUUCUUUUACACGUUACUUCCCUUCAAUCCUCACGGCAACUGAGUGGCAAAUGUUUCUGUUCCCAGGGAAAACAAAGGCCUGGAGAGGGGUCUUGAACUUUCCAAAGCCUGGACCUGAGGGCCUUCCCUCGGCUGGGAGAGAGUUAGAAAUCCAGCUAAGGUAAGAGACAGAGCAUGGAGAUCAAAGGUCAAGACCAGGAUAUUAGGCUAGACUGGAUUUAAUCUUAACUUAAAAUGUGACUUUGUCUCACAAAGCCUCGGUUUCCCCAUCUGUGAAAUGGGGAUAAUAAUAGCAUCUCCCUUAUAGGGCUGUUAUUAGGAUUUGGGAAGAAGCUACACAGGAGGACUUAGCAUUAUAAUGCCUGAUAUGCAGUAGGUGCUCAAUAACCACCUCAAUAAAA